UUCAUCAAGAUACAAUUACCUUCCUUAUCUCUUUUAAUCAGAUCUAUUUUUGCUUUAGCUUUGUCUGACAUCAUAAUUGCUACUCCUGCCUUCUUUACUCUGUGUAUGUCUACCAGCCUCAAGUGUGUUUCUUAUAAACAACAUAUGGCAAUGUUGAAUGAUAGCGAACAGCAGUAACUAAGAAACUGAAUGAAGGAAAAGAGAGGAAAAAAAAGUUGCAGAACUGUGAAGGCAAGGAAGAAGAAAAUAACAAAGAAUAAGAAAAGGAGAAAGAGAAGAAAAAGGAAAGAAAGCGCCCAUUUUACAGAUGAGGAAACUGAAGAUAAGGAUAAAAUGAGACUUGACCAGGAUCACAGAACUAGUAAGUUGCUGAAGUCAUGUUUGAACCAGGGUUUUCCAGAACUCAGGACCAGUGCUCUAUUC
rnacentral:lncRNA from 1 species